ACGGGAGGCAGCAGUGGGGAAUAUUGGGCAAUGGGCGCAAGCCUGACCCAGCAAUGCCGCGUGAAGGAAGAAGGCUUUCGGGUUGUAAACUUCUUUUAAGUGGGACGAUAAUGACGGUACCACUUGAAUAAGCUCCGGCUAACUACGUGCCAGCAGCCGCGGUAAUACGUAGGGAGCAAGCGUUGUCCGGAUUUAUUGGGUGUAAAGGGUGCGUAGACGGGAAAUUAAGUUAGUUGUGAAAUCCCUCGGCUCAACUGAGGAACUGCAACUAAAACUGGUUUUCUUGAGUGCAGGAGAGGAAAGUGGAAUUCCUAGUGUAGCGGUGAAAUGCGUAGAUAUUAGGAGGAACACCAGUGGCGAAGGCGACUUUCUGGACUGUAACUGACGUUGAGGCACGAAAGUGUGGGGAGCAAACAGGAUUAGAUACCCUGGUA
rnacentral:rRNA from 1 species